rnacentral:rRNA from 1 species
GAUGAACGCUGGCGGCGUGCCUAAUACAUGCAAGUCGAGCGAACGGACGAGAAGCUUGCUUCUCUGAUGUUAGCGGCGGACGGGUGAGUAACACGUGGAUAACCUACCUAUAAGACUGGGAUAACUUCGGGAAACCGGAGCUAAUACCGGAUGAUAUUUUGAACCGCAUGGUUCAAAAGUGAAAGACGGUCUUGCUGUCACUUAUAGAUGAAUCCGCGCUGCACUAGCUAGUUGGUAAGGUAACGGCUUACCAAGGCAACGAUGCAUAGCCGACCUGAGAGGGUGAUCGGCCACACUGGAACUGAGACACGGUCCAGACUCCUACGGGAGGCAGCAGUAGGGAAUCUUCCGCAAUGGGCGAAAGCCUGACGGAGCAACGCCGCGUGAGUGAUGAAGGUCUUCGGAUCGUAAAACUCUGUUAUUAGGGAAGAACAUAUGUGUAAGUAACUGUGCACAUCUUGACGGUACCUAAUCAGAAAGCCACGGCUAACUACGUG